AGCUUUGCGCAGUGGCAGUAUCGUAGCCAAUGAGGUUUAUCCGAGGCGCGAUUAUUGCUAAUUGAAAAAAUGCAUGUUAUACAGUUCUAAACUACAUCUAGAUCCAGGCUGAAUCUCUGAUUCUGAGAUUCCAG
ensembl:snRNA U4 U4 spliceosomal RNA